GCGGCCGCCUGGAGCUCUCGGCCUCGGCCUUCGACGACGGCAACUUCUCGCUGCUCAUCCGCGGUGCGGGGACCGGGGCCGCGGGGUCGGGGCAGGGGACCGGGGCCGCGGGGUCAGGGGCACCGCAAGGCUCACGCGCGGCUUCCUCCUGGGUGCGCAGCGGUGGAGGAGACGGACGCGGGGCUGUACACCUGCAACCUGCACCACCACUACUGCCACCUCUACGAGAGCCUGGCCGUCCGCCUGGAGGUCACCGACGGCCCCCCGGCCACCCCCGCCUACUGGGACGGCGAGAAGGAGGUGCUGGCGGUGGCGCGCGGCGCACCUGCGCU
rnacentral:sRNA from 1 species